rnacentral:lncRNA from 1 species
UGGAAAUCAGGAAGACCCAACCUUCGCAGCUGGGCUGGGGCUCCUGCCCACCUCUGCCCUGUGCUUGGUGCCUAACCAAGACUCGAAGUGAUGGCCAAGUGCUGUGGAAGCCCCUCUACCCUGUGCCCCCCCCUCCUACCCUCCUCUGUAGAGACGUCUCCUAAGGAGAGCAGCACAACUGGAAGCCUGGUCAGCAGUGGUUUCUGCCUAAAAGCCAGUCUGGGGCCUGCCAGCCUCGGAAUCAGGUCUACUUCCUACUCAAAAGCCCUGAAUCCUGCCCCCCAGCCUCAAGGAUGAUUCCUCUAAAUCCUGCUUCGAUUGUCCUUCCCCCACAUUAAACUGCUUGGCACCAGCA